UGGGGAAUAUUGCACAAUGGGCGCAAGCCUGAUGCAGCGACGCCGCGUGAGGGAUGGAGGCCUUCGGGUUGUAAACCUCUUUCGCCAGUGAAGCAGGCCAUCUUCUUUGUGGGGUGGUUGACGGUAGCUGGAUAAGAAGCGCCGGCUAACUACGUACCAGCAGCCGCGGUAAUACGUAGGGCGCGAGCGUUGUCCGGAAUUAUUGGGCGUAAAGAGCUCGUAGGCGGCUGGUCGCGUCUGUCGUGAAAUCCCCUGGCUUAACUGGGGGCUUGCGGUGGGUACGGGCCGGCUUGAGUGCGGUAGGGGAGACUGGAAUUCCUGGUGUAGCGGUGGAAUGCGCAGAUAUCAGGAGGAACACCGGUGGCGAAGGCGGGUCUCUGGGCCGUUACUGACGCUGAGGAGCGAAAGCGUGGGGAGCGAACAGG
rnacentral:rRNA from 1 species